UACGGAAGGUGCGAGCGUUAAUCGGAAUUACUGGGCGUAAAGCGCACGUAGGUGGUUUGCUAAGUCGAAUGUGAAAGCCCCGGGCUCAACCUGGGAAUUGCAUCCGAUACUGGCAGGCUAGAGUACAGUAGAGGGAGGUGGAAUUUCCGGUGUAGCGGUGAAAUGCGUAGAGAUCGGAAGGAACACCAGUGGCGAAGGCGGCCUCCUGGACUGAUACUGACACUGAGGUGCGAAAGCGUGGGGAGCAAACAGG
rnacentral:rRNA from 1 species